rnacentral:piRNA from 1 species
CCGUCAGCACCCAAAGCUGAAAUUC